GAUGAAGAACGUAGUGAAAUGCGAUAAGUAAUGCGAAUUGCAGAAUUUCCGUGAGUCAUCGAAUCUUUGAACGCACAUUGCGCCCCUUGGUAUUCCGAGGGGCAUGCCUGUUCGAGCGUCAUUAUAACCCUCAAGCUCAGCUUGGUGUUGGGGCCUGCUGCACUGGCAGCCCUUAAAAUCAGUGGCGGCGCCAUCUGGCUCUAAGCGUAGUAAUUCUUCUCGCUAUGGAGUCCUGGUGGAUGCUUGCCAUCAACCCCCAAUUUUUCUAUGGUUGACCUCGGAUCAGGUAGGGAUACCCGCUGAACUUAAGCAUAUCAAUAAGCGGAGGA
rnacentral:misc_RNA from 1 species